rnacentral:rRNA from 1 species
AGAGUUUGAUCCUGGCUCAGAACGAACGCUGGCGGCGCGCUUAACACAUGCAAGUCGAACGGUAACGGGUCCUUCGGGACGCCGACGAGUGGCGAACGGGUGAGUAACGCGUGGAUACCUGUCCUAUGGUGGGGAAUAACGUUUAGAAAUGAACGCUAAUACCGCAUAAGCCCUACGGGGGAAAGAUUUAUCGCCAUAGGAGGGGUCUGCGUCGGAUUAGCUAGUUGGUGGGGUAAAGGCCUACCAAGGCGACGAUCCGUAGCUGGUCUGAGAGGAUGAUCAGCCACACUGGGACUGAGACACGGUCCAGACUCCUACGGGAGGCAGCAGUGGGGAAUAUUGCGCAAUGGGGGAAACCCUGACGCAGCGACGCCGCGUGGGUGAAGAAGGCCUUAGGGUUGUAAAGCCCUUUCAGUGGGAAAGAUAAUGACGGUACCCACAGAAGAAGCUCCGGCUAACUCCGUGCCAGCAGCCGCGGUAAUACGGAGGGGGCUAGCGUUGUUCGGAAUUACUGGGCGUAAAGGGCGCGUAGGCGGUCAUGUAAGUCAGGAGUGAAAUCCUCAGGCUCAACCUGGGAACUGCUUCUGAAACUGUGUGACUAGAGUUCGGUAGAGGAUGGUGGAAUUCCCCGUGUAGAGGUGAAAUUCGUAGAUAUGGGGAGGAAGACCGGAGGCGAAGGCGGCCAUCUGGACCGAAACUGACGCUAAGGCGCGAAAGCGUGGGGAGCAAACA